UGUGGCUGUUCUCAUUGUUUCUUUAAUUAUUUAUUGUUAUCAGUUAUAUUUUCAAAAUAAAAAGUUUCCGUUAUUUUCUUGUUAUCAAUCACAGUAGCAAAUUGAUGUUAUUCCACCCUUAUUCCAUUUGUUAUUCCUUGGUUAGUCAUUUGCUGUUUUUCUUUCAUUUAUGUACCAUUGUUCAUGACAAGUGAAAACCAAUGAUCUUUAUGCUUGUGGUUUGUUUCGGGCCAUUUGUUACUCGUUGGAUUUUGGUGUUGACUGGAUUAUGCUGCUUUCAUGUGUAAUAUUUAUUCUUGUAUUGUCGCUGUUAGAUAUUCAGUAUGUCAUAAACCAAAUUAAAUC
rnacentral:lncRNA from 1 species